rnacentral:rRNA from 1 species
AACGAACGCUGGCGGCGCGCUUAACACAUGCAAGUCGAACGAGAAGGCGUAGCAAUACGCUUGUAAAGUGGCGAACGGGUGAGGAAUACAUGGGUAACCUACCCUCGAGUGGGGGAUAACCCGCCGAAAGGCGGGCUAAUACCGCGUACGUUUCCGAUCUCGCGGGAUCGGAAGGAAAGCUGUCCCAAGGGGAUGGCGCUCAAGGAUGGGCUCAUGUCCUAUCAGCUUGUUGGUAGGGUAACGGCCACCAAGGCAUCGACGGGUAGCUGGUCUGAGAGGACGAUCAGCCACACUGGCACUGCGACACGGGCCAGACUCCUACGGGAGGCAGCAGUGGGGAAUCUUGCGCAAUGGGCGAAAGCCUGACGCAGCGACGCCGCGUGAGGGAUGACGGCCUCGG